rnacentral:rRNA from 1 species
AGAGUUUGAUUAUGGCUCAGGACGAACGCUGGCGGCGUGCCUAACACAUGCAAGUCGAACGGGACCGGGGGCAACUCCGGUUCAGUGGCGAACGGGUGCGUAACACGUGAGAAAUUUGUCUUUCGGUGGGGGAUAGCCGGCCCAACGGCCGGGUAAUACCGCGUACGCUCUUCGGGGGGCAUCCCCUGGGGAGGAAAGCAGCAAUGCGCCGAAAGAGAAUCUCGCGGCCUAUCAGCUAGUUGGUGAGGUAACGGCUCACCAAGGCGACGACGGGUAGCUGGUCUGAGAGGAUGGCUAGCCACAUUGGGACUGGAACACGGCCCAGACUCCUACGGGAGGCAGCAGUGGGGAAUCUUGCGCAAUGGGCGAAAGCCUGACGCAGCGACGCCGCGUGUGGGAUGACGGCCUUCGGGUUGUAAACCACUGUCGGGAGGGACGAAGCUCUGACGGUACCUCCAAAGGAAGCACCGGCUAACUCUGUGCCAGCAGCCGCGGUAAUACAGAGGGUGCGAGCGUUGUCCGGAAUCACUGGGCGUAAAGGGCGCGUAGGCGGCCUGAUAAGUAGGGGGUGAAAUCCUGUGGCUUAACUGCAGGGCUGCCUCCUAGACUGUCAGGCUCGAGCACGGUAGAGGCAGAUGGAAUUCCCGGUGUAGCGGUGGAAUGCGUAGAGGUCGGGAAGAACAUCGGUGGCGAAGGCGGUCUGCUGGGCCGUUGCUGACGCUGAGGCGCGACAGCGUGGGGAGCAAACAGGAUUAGAUACCCUGGUAGUCCACGCCGUAAACGAUGGACACUAGGCGUCGGGGGGGAGCGACCCUCUCGGUGCCGUCGCUAACGCAGUAAGUGUCCCGCCUGGGGAGUACGGCCGCAAAGCUGAAACUCAAAUGAAUUGACGGGG